rnacentral:piRNA from 1 species
UUGAAAUCACAGUUUGAUUGG